CCAAUAGCGUAUAUUAAAGUUGUUGCAGUUAAAAAGCUCGUAGUUGAAUUUCGGGGUUAGUAGGUUGGUCAUGCCUCUGGUAUGUACUGGUCUCACUGAUUCCUCCUUCCUGAUGAGCCGUAAUGCCAUUAAUUUGGUGUCGCAGGGAAUCAGGACUGUUACUUUGAAAAAAUUAGAGUGUUUAAAGCAGGCUUACGCUUGAAUACAUUAGCAUGGAAUAAUUAAAUAGGACGUUUGACCCUAUUUUGUUGGUUUCUAGGAUUGACGUAAUGAUUAAUAGGGAUAGUUGGGGGCAUUAGUAUUCAAUUGUCAGAGGUGAAAUUCUUGGAUUUAUUGAAGACUAACUACUGCGAAAGCAUUUGCCAAGGAUGUUUUCAUUAAUCAAGAACGAAAGUUAGGGGAUCGAAGACGAUCAGAUACCGUCGUAGUCUUAACCAUAAACUAUGCCGACUAGGGAUCGGAUGAUGUUAAUUUUUUAAUGACUCAUUCGGCGCCUUACGGAAAACCAAAGUGUUUGGGUU
rnacentral:rRNA from 1 species